rnacentral:rRNA from 1 species
UACGAAGGGGGCUAGCGUUGCUCGGAAUCACUGGGCGUAAAGCGCACGUAGGCGGAUUGCUAAGUCAGGGGUGAAAUCCUGGAGCUCAACUCCAGAACUGCCUUUGAUACUGAGAAGCUUGAGUCCGGGAGAGGUGAGUGGAACUGCGAGUGUAGAGGUGAAAUUCGUAGAUAUUCGCAAGAACACCAGUGGCGAAGGCGGCUCACUGGCCCGAUACUGACGCUGAGGCACGAAAGCGUGGGGAGCAAACAGG